rnacentral:rRNA from 1 species
GAUGAACGCUGGCGGCGUGCUUAACACAUGCAAGUCGAACGAAGCACUUUAUUAUGAUUUCUUCGGAAUGACGAUUUAGUGACUGAGUGGCGGACGGGUGAGUAACGCGUGGGUAACCUGCCUUUCAGAGGGGGACAACAGUUGGAAACGACUGCUAAUACCGCAUGACACAUUGGGGUCGCAUGGCCUUGAUGUCAAAGAUUUAUCGCUGAAAGAUGGGCCUCGCGUCUGAUUAGCUAGUUGGUGAGGUAACGGCCCACCAAGGCGACGAUCAGUAGCCGGACUGAGAGGUUGACCGGCCACAUUGGGACUGAGAUACGGCCCAGACUCCUACGGGAGGCAGCAGUGGGGAAUAUUGGGCAAUGGGCGCAAGCCUGACCCAGCAACGCCGCGUGAAGGAAGAAGGCUUUCGGGUGUAAACUUCUUUUGUCUAGGGACGAGUAGAAGACGGUACCUGACGAAUAAG